rnacentral:misc_RNA from 1 species
CAACCAUCAAGCCCCAGGCUUGUGUUGGAGCCCUGCGGCUGCCGCAGCCUCCCAAAACCAGUGGCGGGCUCGCUAUCACACCGAGUGCAGUAGUUUACUCUUCGCUCAGGGCGUGUGGCGGGUGCUAGCCGUGAAACCCCCCCAUUUCUCAA